rnacentral:lncRNA from 1 species
AAUUUUUAUUUCGCCGAGCACUAGUUUUGCAGGUUUCUCUCCUGACCCUGUCAGGAUCGAUUACUUGGUUCUAAAUUUAUAUGUGAUUGUUUAUGUGACAUUAUCUUGCUUCUUGUUCCUUAUCUUAUUCAUAAGUUUGAUUUUGUCUUGUUUAUUUAUCGUAGAUGCCAGCCCAUUGGAAUAUUCCCGAUGUGUCAACACUCUUCCAAUUAUGCCACAAAAUGGUAGAAGACUCCGGUUUACAAGAAAACCUUCGUCAUCUACGUUGGGAAGAGAUCAGUAAGUCUUUCCAUGACAAAGGAAGUACAUUUUCACCACAACAAUGUAAAGACAAGUUUGAUAAGAUCAGAAGCACGUGGCUGGCAUUUUACAAGAAGAGGGCCAAAGUUGGUCGUGAGUCUUAUGGUUUGGAGAUUGACGACAACACCGGGAUGCUAAUUGGUACCGUGCCAGACAUGUCAGCCCACCUCGAUGUAAUUUAGGAUGCUGAUUUUGUGUGUUCUUUUAUUGCUGAAUAUAUAAAUUUCUUACUGAUUUUGUUUCAUUUUUUUUUUUCAGGAGGCUGGUAAAAGGGCAUUUAAAUGCUUCUUGGCAGAUCCGGACCUCUUCGACAAGUGCACGGACAUAUUCAUCAAGCACACUUCCAGAGCAGCUUUAACCUAUUCGAAGUAGAUAACCGGUAGCAGCAAGCGGGGUGCCGAUGAAAUGCAAACUUCCACUUUGCGGAAUCAGAGACAGAAGACUGACGACGUGGCGAAGGUUCCUUCUUUUACGGAAUGCUAUCAUAUAUUAAAGGCCAUACCAGACUUAGGUGCCGACGUCGUGGCGAAGCAUAUCUUUGGGGAAUUUUAAUUUUAAUUCGAGUAUUCAAUUCGAAUUAUAAUAUAAUAUUGUAAAAUUUUGGAACUUUGUUGUCGUUGUUAUUAUUAUUACAUACUUGUCUUGCAUAGUUUAUUCAAAAAGAGAUAAAAAAUCAUUCUUGAUAUUAAUUAUUAUCAUCCUUUGUUUAUUAGGUUUUAAUGCAAGUUGUAAUAAAUACAUAUGAUAUUAAUUAGUAAUAUCCACCGUGCAUAUAUAAGGGAUGUAGAGUUUUCACGGCGAAGGAAAUACCUAUGUGUAGUGUAUUUAUAUUUUUCGCUCUUAAAUGAUAAAUAAGAAACAAAAUAUUAUUUAAGUUAGAUAAAAAAAUAAAGCGAAAUAAACUUGACAAAAUUACAAUCGGAUAUAACAUUUGAACCCUUCUCGAUUCAAAUCAUUGAAUAAAUCGUAAAUUUAUAUAACAAAAACAUAAGAUUUACGAUAAAUGGGGUUUUGGAUCUUCCGACGCGUCUCCGUCUCUCGCUUUCGGGGUUUUGGAUCUUCCGACGCGUCUCCGUCUCUCGCUUUCUUUCUCUUUAAUUCAUCGAACUAUGAUCAUGACAACACGAAAUGUAAGAGAACAAAAUAUUAUUUAAGUUAGAUAACAAAUAAAGUGAGAGUAUACAAAUAAAACUUGAUACCUUAACAAACCAAUAUAACAUGCGCGGAGUAUAAGAUAUUGUGAAUUGUAACACUCCAGUAUAAUAUGCAUGGCCAAUUUUAAUCAGGAAUCGUUUACACUCCGAUAUUCAUUGAACAGCAAAAAAAACGUCUUCCUGGGUUUUUUUCGGUCCGCGAGGUUCUAAUUGUCGCGUCAAUUCCACAAUAACAAUGGAAAUUUAACCCCUCAUAUGACGGCAUAGAUGAGCCGCCUUCAGUGGAUGUACAAGUUGCCCUAUUACGUUGUGUGCUUGAACUGGAAAACUCAUUAUAUAUGAUUAUUGAUGUAAACAUAAAAGGAAAUCGUCAGAAGAAUUUGUGUAACAUUAUUUACCUGAUUUCAGGCCAGAUUUCUCACCGUUAGGGGUCAGAAGUGCUGAUCAAUUUUGUUUAAACUGGCCGUCGGGAAGAGAUUACCACUACAAAGGGAACGAAAACACUAGCAAAAUAGUAGAAAUAGUUAGAAGAGUAAACGCACAGCGAUUUCUGUCUAUUUCCCACAAUUGGACAGAAAUUUGACUUCCACAAUCACCAUGAUAGAUUACCCGUGAUUAAUUAAGACAAUAACCGGAAAUCCACGCGAAGAACAAGUUAAUUCGGAUCAAAAUUGAAAAAUCCCCAAAAACUGAAAUUAGGGUUCUUACCAAUAGUGCAAUCAUACAAACAAAAAUGGCUAAGUCACCACAUCAUCAAAUGUUUCUUAAAUAAAAAGAUUACCCAAGAACUUGACCCCAAAAUAAAAGAUAACAGUGCUAGGGACAAUUCCUAAAAAUGAGUUCUUGUUCAAAUUCAAGCAAGAGAUUGGAGUUAAUUCGAACUAAAAUCAAAUUUCUGAAGAACAAGUCAAUUCGGAUCAAAAUUGAAAAAUCCCCAAAAACUGAAAUUAGGGUUCUUACCUUGGGUGUAGCGGAAUUUAAGUGAAACUGAACCCACAAGCCUAAGAUUUUGAUGAAAUAUGAAGAUUGAAGCCAAGUUUUGCAAGUGAUUUCAAAAGGUUUGAUGAAAAAAAUGAAAAUUUUGCGGUGAAAAUGGGGGGAGGGGCGGCGGGUUUAAGAGCAAAGAGGGAGAGAAAUUGUGAAGUGGGCUGACAGAUUCUUUUUUCCAUUUAUUUAUCUUUUAUUUUUUUUUAUGACUGACCUCGUGGCUGCUGCCAAGGUGCGUGGCCGCGGCUAUCUUAAAAGAUUUUUUAUUUUUUUUGUUAAAGUUAACCUUCCACUUAAAUCCUUAAAAAUCAAAUGAAUAAAAAAUUAAAGAAGGCGAAGCCCUCUUAUCCAUUCAAUUAGGGGACUGAAAUGCAAUUUUCCCCAUAAAUGCACCAAACCUAGUUAAAGCUCCCUCCUUGUGCCACCUCUUUCCUUCCCAUGUAUUGACAAGUUUUCGGGAAGAUUGUGUCACCUGGUGGCGCUGAUUUUCACGCGGCGGCGCUAGGGUUUGAGAAUAUUCACGAUUUUGAGUUGGGAUUCAAUUGUCAGUGAUCUAAUCUUUCAAUUACUGCUGUAAUCGAUCAUAGGUAAUCUACCCAUCAUGUAUCUGAUUGGGGCUGUUUAUGGUUAAUUUUUGUGGUGGUAGUUGCAAUUUUGCGUUUGCUGCUACGCGUUUGCACUGAUUUAUUAAACAUUUCAUCAAUGUUCUUGGAGCUUUGGAUACUUCGAUUAAGAUUUAUGGGGGUUGAGUUGUUUUUGGUGCUUGAAUCAAAGCAAUUCUUUGCAUUUCUUGGCGAAUAAAAGCAAGUCGCGGCGGUGGGAGCAGCGGGGACAGUCGGAGCAGCGGUGGCAAACUGCUUUUAACCCUAUAAAAUUUGAACCCUUCUCGAUUCAAAUCGUUGAAUAAAUCGUAAAUUUAUAUAAAAAAACAUAAGAUUUACGAUAAUGAUGUAAUACACCAAUAAAAUAUGCACUGAAAGUUUACAUUGGGACAAAAUACACACGGAUAUAAUAAUAAUAAUAAUAAUAAUAAUAAUAAUAAUAAUAAUAAUAAUAAUAAUAAUAAUAAUAAUAAUAAUAAUAAUAAUAAUAAUAAUAAUAAUAAUAAUAAUAAUAAUAAUAAUAAUAAUAAUAAUAAUAAUAAUAAUAAUAAUAAUAAUAAUAAUAAUAAUAAUAAUAAUAAUAAUAAUAAUAAUAAUAAUAAUAAUAAUAAUAAUAAUAAUAAUAAUAAUAAUAAUAAUAAUAAUAAUAAUAAUAAAUUACAAACACCCCCUGAGAUAUGGUCAAAUUACAAAAAUCCCCCUCUUGUUUGAAUAAUUACAUCUACCCCCCUCAACUAUGAUUUUUUCUUAGACCUCCACCUUUAUGGUGCCAAAUUCAACAUAGUCAUCUAGAUUCCGUGAAAUGUGCUCUAGUUUGUACUCUUUUUGUGUAAAAAAUACAGUUUUCGAUGCACCACAAACUGAUAUAUACAAGCUAAAUAUCACAUAUUAUGAUCAUCUUGCUUCAUAAUAUAGUGUUUGAAUGGGAUAAAACGGGUACAAAAGUGAUAAUAUUCCAUAUAAUCUCGAAGAUUCCACUAAAUUUGAUGAGUUGAGGGGGUGGUUGUAAUUAUCCAAACAAGAGGGGUGUUUUUGUAAUUUGACCAUACCUCAGGGGGGUGUUUGUAAUUUACCCUAAUAAUAAUAAUAAUAGUAAUAGUAAUAGUAAUAGUAGUAGUAGUAGUAGUAGUAGUAGUAGUAGUAGUAGUAGUAGUAGUAGUAGUAGUAGUAGUAAUAGUAAUAGUAAUAGUAAUAGUAAUAGUAAUAGUAAUAGUAAUAGUAAUAGUAAUAGUAAUAAUAAUAGUAAUAAUAAUAAUACAAAAGAAUUAGUUUCUAGCAACAAUUAUAUUUAUAUUCACAACAAAAUUAUAUUCGCAAGAGUUUUAUUUUUUUGCGAAUAGUAUAUUACCUGUGUAGAAAAUUUCAUCGCAACGCCACAAAGGGAGUGAUAAAAAAAUACAUUCUUCUUGCAAAUAUAAUAAAAUUGUUGCGUGGUGCACCGGUGCUAAUGGUAAAUCGAAAUAUUGAUGAGUUCAUGUAUGUAAAUUAAUCCAUAAUAUAUUGAUUUGCUUAGAAAAGAUUGCAAUAUCAUAUUUAUUUUAAAUAAUUCUAUUUUUUCUUGAAUGAAUAUUUAUAUUCGUCCGAGUUUGUGCAUUUUUAGGGUCGUUUAUCGAGUUGAUUUGGUGAUUACUCACCGAUGAUAUUGUAACAACAAAUUCUUAUCUGCGAUAUAAACAAACAAGAAAAAUUGAACAAAGAUGAUUUUAUUGAAUUAAAAUAAAUAAAUUGCGGGUUACAAUCUCUAUUUUAAUCCUCUGAUUCUUCUCUCUAGAACAAUAUAUAGUUGACUUGAAUUUUCGGAGUCGGGUCGUUGACUUGAUCUUCUCCGGAUUUGAUUUUGGAUUUGAAUAACGUUUUCCAAGGGUCUUGCGACUUGAAUCUCGGAUCGAACGUUGAACUUUGACUAAAUUUGACUUGAAGAUCUUGAAGUUCUUGAUGGAUUUGGCCCUUCAAUCUUCCAAUGAUCUUGACUUGAAUUUGAUUAACGUUAAUCCGAAGGUUUGGCACCGUUUCGGAUCGAACGCUGGAUUUGAUGAAAAAUGCCUUGAAUUUGCUCAAGAACACCUCGAAUUUGACGAAGAACACUUUGAAUGUAGAGAGAGAAUCUUACCUCCUACGAAUUCUUCUUCCUUGCUUCUGAAUUGUAGAGAGAAUUUCGCUCCUACGAUUUCUGCUCCUUCAGUUGUGUUUGAAUUGUGAAGGGAGGGUCCCUAUUUAUAGUGGCAGAACAAGAGUUCUUGAUGGGCCUUACUGAUGAUGUGGCACGAUUUGAUUGGCUCGAUUUAAAUUGAUAUUUAUCUCUUGUAACUUGGAAGAAAAAAAAUAAUCUGAUUGGCCAAUAAUUAAUUGAUAUUUAUUUCUUAUAACUUGUGAAAGAAGAAAUAAUUCUAUUGGUCAAUAUAUAUUUAAAAUCAAUUAUCUAUUUAAAUUAAGAAUUAAUUAAAAUUCUUAAUAUUAAAAUAGAAAACAUAUAAUUGAUAUUUAAUAUAUAUAAUAUAUAUAUGAUUUUUACGCAUUGAUAUAUAUAUAUAUAAAUGACUUUGAAUGCUUAAUUACAUAUUUGCCACUUGAAUAAAUUCACUCGGCUCUAUGAAAAUUAGCAAUUUAAUUGCUUGAAAAUUUGUUCGUCUACAGAUAUAUUUGGGAAUUAGAAUUUUCACGGCGAAGGAAAUAUUCUGGUAGUGUAUUUAUAUUUGUCGCUCUUAAGUGAUAAUAAAAAUAAAAUUCCUAAAAUAUUAAAAAAUGUUUUGAAAAUAUACAAAAACUAUUACGCUGAUUGGGUUUGAGUUUUAGUUUUAUUUCAAAUUUUGUUUAAUAGUUUUUUAACUUUUUUAUAUUUUCCAAACAUAGUUUAAUAGAUACACGGUGCAUCUUCUGGUCAAAUUAUAUUAAUUUGGUGAGUGAAAUAUCAAUUGAAAGUCGUUGGAACCAUUAACUUUUCUGCACUCGCGUCUCCUCCGAGCGGCGAUUAGACAUCAAUUGAAGUGGUUGAAAUUAUUAAUUGCCUAAUGUAUUACUUGCGUUCCCACAAGAGAAAACAUGAAGAGGAGAGAAAGACGAAGAGAAGACGAGGAAGACGAAGUGGAUUACUUGCGACCCGACCGCCGAGUCCAUUGCUUCUAGUAGCACUCCGGUAAAUUGUGUUCUGCUUUUCUCUGUUUUUUCGAAAUAAUGUUGGUCUUAGUGUCAUAUACUUUGGAGGUGCGAUAUACUUUCGUAAAUUUCUACUAUUCGCUUAGCCACUUUUUUUGCAGCUUUUUCAUUUGUUAGAAAGCUGUUUAGAGGUUGUAAUAGCAAGGAAACAUCCUUUUUUGUGUGGCUCUGCUUUUCUCUGUUUUUUCGAAAUUAUGUUGGUCUUAGUGUCAUAUACUUUGGAGGUGCGAUAUACUUUCUUAAGCAGAAAUCGAAGCGACAAAAAGAGGUGAAAUCGUAAAUUUCUACUAUAAGCCGCUAGUUCUAGUUUUUGGGUCCAUGAACACGAGUCUUCAAUGGUUUAGUACCCUCAGCGAAGUUUAGCCACUUUUUUUGCAGUUUUUUCGUUUGUUAGAAAGCUGUUUAGAGGUUGUAAUAGGAAGGAAACAUCCUUUUUGUGUGGCUAUCUUAGCUGAGAGGUUAACUGUGGGUGCUGGACUUUGAAGAUUCUUGUAAGUGGCCCUGUUUUUAAUGUUUUUAGCUUCUGAACUACUAGCUAGGGUUGAAGCUUGUCCUGUGGAUCUUUGUAGUGUCUUUGUUAAGGUUGUUUUACGGUUGCUGUUGGCAGUUUCACAGAAUGUGCUUUGGCCGUGGGAGCCAUUUGUUUUGCUCUGCCAUGACGACCAAUUUUUAUUUUGCCGAGCACUAGUUUUGCAGGUUUCUCUCCUGACCCUGUCAGGAUCGAUUACUUGGUUCUAAAUUUAUAUGUGACAUAAUCUUGCUUCUUGUUCCUUAUCUUAUUCAUAAGUUUGAUUUUGUCUUGUUUAUUUAUCGUAGAUGCCAGCCCAUUGGAAUAUUCCCGAUGUGUCAACACUCUCCUAACUAUGCCACAAAAUGGUAGAAGACUCCGGUUUACAAGAAAACCUUCGUCAUCUACGUUGGGAAGAGAUCAGUAAGUCUUUCCAUGACAAAGGAAGUGUAUUUUCACCACAACAAUGUAAAGACAAGUUUGACAGAUGAGAAGCACGUGGCUGACAUUUUACAAGAAGAGGGCCAAAGUUGGUCGUGAGUCUUAUGGUUUGGAGAUUGACGACAACACCGGGAUGCUAAUUGGUACCGUGCCAGACAUGUCAGCCCACCUCCAUGUAAUUUAGGAUGCUGAUUUUGUGUGUUCUUUUAUUGCUGAAUAUAUAAAUUUCUUACUGAUUUUGUUUCAUUUUUUUUUUCAGGAGGCUGGUAAAAGGGCAUUUAAAUGCUUCUUGGCAGAUCCGGACCUCUUCGACAAGUGCACGGACAUAUUCAUCAAGCACACUUCCAGAGCAGCUUUAACCUAUUCGAAGCAGAUAACCGGUAGCAGCAAGCGGGGUGCCGAUGAAAUGCAAACUUCCACUUUGCGGAAUCAGAGACAGAAGACUGACGACGUGGCGAAGGUUCCUUCUUUUACGGAAUGCUAUCAUAUAUUAAAGGCCAUACCAGGGUGCCGACGUCGUGGCGAAGCUUGUGGUACUGCUAAUAAAUGCCGACUCUA